rnacentral:rRNA from 1 species
UGCCAGCCGCCGCGGUAAUACGGAGGGGGUUAGCGUUGUUCGGAAUUACUGGGCGUAAAGCGUACGUAGGCGGAUUAUUAAGUGAGGGGUGAAAUCCCAGGGCUCAACCCUGGAACUGCCUCUCAUACUGGUAGUCUUGAGGUCGAGAGAGGUGAGUGGAAUUCCGAGUGUAGAGGUGAAAUGCUUAGAUAUCGGGAGGAACACCAGUGGCGAAGGCGGCUUGCUGGGGUGGUACUGACGCUGAACUGCGAAAGCCAGGGGAGCAAACGGGAUUAGAUA